GAUGAACGCUGGCGGCGUGCCUAAUACAUGCAAGUCGAGCGAACAGACGAGGAGCUUGCUCCUCUGACGUUAGCGGCGGACGGGUGAGUAACACGUGGAUAACCUACCUAUAAGACUGGGAUAACUUCGGGAAACCGGAGCUAAUACCGGAUAAUAUAUUGAACCGCAUGGUUCAAUAGUGGAAGACGGUUUUGCUGUCACUUAUAGAUGGAUCCGCGCCGCAUUAGCUAGUUGGUAAGGUAACGGCUUACCAAGGCAACGAUGCGUAGCCGACCUGGGAGGGUGAUCGGCCACACUGGAACUGAGACACGGUCCAGACUCCUACGGGAGGCAGCAGUAGGGAAUCUUCCGCAAUGGGCGAAAGCCUGACGGAGCAACGCCGCGUGAGUGAUGAAGGUCUUCGGAUCGUAAAACUCUGUUAUUAGGGAAGAACAAAUGUGUAAGUAACUAUGCACGUCUUGACGGUACCUAAUCAGAAAGCCACGGCUAACUACGUG
rnacentral:rRNA from 1 species